rnacentral:rRNA from 1 species
GUAGAUGGCAAGCGUUGUCCGGAAUUAUUGGGGCGUAAAGCGCGCGCAGGCGGUUCUUUAAGUCUGAUGUGAAAGCCCACGGGCUCAACCGUGGAGGGUCAUUGGAAACUGGAGAACUUGAGUACAGAAGAGGAAAGCGGAAUUCCACGUGUAGCGGUGAAAUGCGUAGAGAUGUGGAGGAACACCAGUGGCGAAGGCGGCUUUCUGGUCUGUAACUGACGCUGAGGCGCGAAAGCGUGGGGAGCAAACAGGAUUAGAUACCCUGGUAGUCCACGCCGUAAACGAUGAGUGCUAAGUGUUAGGGGGUUUCCGCCCCUUAGUGCUGCAGCUAACGCAUUAAGCACUCCGCCUGGGGAGUACGGCCGCAAAGGCUG